UACGUAGGGGGCGAGCGUUGUCCGGAUUUAUUGGGCGUAAAGAGCGUGUCGGCGGUUCGGUAAGUCUGUCGUGAAAUCCUGAGGCUCAACCUCGGGCGUGCGAUGGAUACUGCCGGGCUAGAGGGUGGUAGAGGCGAGUGGAAUUCCCGGUGUAGCGGUGAAAUGCGCAGAUAUCGGGAGGAACACCAGUAGCGAAGGCGGCUCGCUGGGCCACACCUGACGCUGAGACGCGAAAGCUAGGGGAGCGAACAGG
rnacentral:rRNA from 1 species